AUUGAACGCUGGCGGCAGGCCUAACACAUGCAAGUCGAGCGGAUGAGUGGAGCUUGCUCCAUGAUUCAGCGGCGGACGGGUGAGUAAUGCCUAGGAAUCUGCCUGGUAGUGGUGGACAACGUUUCGAAAGGAACGCUAAUACCGCAUACGUCCUACGGGAGAAAGUGGGGGAUCUUCGGACCUCACGCUAUCAGAUGAGCCUAGGUCGGAUUAGCUAGUUGGUGAGGUAAAGGCUCACCAAGGCGACGAUCCGUAACUGGUCUGAGAGGAUGAUCAGUCACACUGGAACUGAGACACGGUCCAGACUCCUACGGGAGGCAGCAGUGGGGAGUAUUGGACAAUGGGCGAAAGCCUGAUCCAGCCAUGCCGCGUGUGUGAAGAAGGUCUUCGGAUUGUAAAGCACUUUAAGUUGGGAGGAAGGGCAGUAAGUUAAUACCUUGCUGUUUUGACGUUACCAACAGAAUAAGCACCGGCUAACUUCGUGCCAGCCGCCGCGGUAAAAC
rnacentral:rRNA from 1 species